rnacentral:rRNA from 1 species
UACGGAGGGGGGCUAGCGUUGUUCGGAAUUACUGGGCGUAAAGCGCACGUAGGCGGCUUUGUAAGUUAGAGGUGAAAGCCCGGGGCUCAACUCCGGAAUUGCCUUUAAGACUGCAUCGCUAGAAUUGUGGAGAGGUAAGUGGAAUUUCCGAGUGUAGAGGUGAAAUUCGUAGAUAUUCGGAAGAACACCAGUGGCGAAGGCGACUUACUGGACACAUAUUGACGCUGAGGUGCGAAAGCGUGGGGAGCAAACAGG